ACUAUUUUGGCAGAAAAGUGCAAUGGAUUUAGAAUCUAGAUAUAUAGAAUUAUACUAUAAGUAGUA
rnacentral:tRNA from 1 species